rnacentral:rRNA from 1 species
AGAGUUUGAUCCUGGCUCAGAACGAACGCUGACGGCGUGGCUAAGACAUGCAAGUCGUACGGACAUUUUGAAUGAGUAAUCACGAAAAGUGUUAGUGGCGAAAGGGUGAGUAAUGCAUAGGUAACGUACCCUUAACUCUGGGAUAGCUGCGGUCUUCGGACCUUUAGCGAAAGUGCAGGUAAUACCAGAUAAUAUCAAAGAGCCGCAUGGUUUUUUGAUCGAAGGUUUCGGCCGGUUUUGGAGCGGCCUAUGUCGUAUCAGCUAGUUGGUGAGGUAAUGGCUCACCAAGGCAUCGACGCGUAGCGGGACUGAGAGGGUUGACCCGCCACAUCGGGACUGAGAUACUGCCCGGACCUCCACGGAGGGCUGCAGUAACGAAUAUUGCGCAAUGGACGAAAGUCUGACGCAGCGACGCCGUGUGCAGAAUGAAGCCCCUUCGGGGUGUAAACUGUUGUCAGGGACUAGAAAGGUAAUGCUUGUCAUACUUGAUCAAUCCCAAAGGAAGGACCGGCUAAAUUCGUGCCAGCAGCCGCGGUAAUACGAAUGGUCCAAGCGUUGUUCGGAAUCACUGGGCUUAAAGCGCACGUAGGCGGAAGAGUAAGUGUCUUGUGAAAUCCCCCGGCUCAACCGGGGAACUGCUCGGCAAACUACUCUUCUUGAGACAAGUAGGGGUACAUGGAACUCUAGGUGGAGCGGUGAAAUGCGUAGAUAUCUAGAGGAACGCCAGCGGAGAAAUCGGUGUACUGGGCUUGUACUGACGCUGAGGUGCGAAAGCGUGGGUAGCGAACGGGAUUAGAUACCCCGGUAGUUCACGCUGUAAACGAUGUCUACUAGGUCGUGGAGGUUCUAACGCCCUCGCGGCCGAAGCAAAAGUGUUAAGUAGACCGCCUGGGGAGUACGGUUCGCAAGGCUAAAACUUCAAAGGAAUUGACGGGGGCUCACACAAGCGGUGGAGCAUGUGGCUUAAUUCGAAGCAACACGAAGAACCUUAUCCUGGGUUUGACAUGCUUGGAUGCCCAUCCUGAAAGGGAGUAGGCUGCUCUUCGGAGUGAAACUUGCACAGGUGCUGCAUGGCUGUCGUCAGCUCGUGUCGUGAGAUGUCGGGUUAAGCCCCUUAACGAGCGAAACCCUUAUCGUUAGUUGCCCACGCGUCAUGGCGGGAACUCUAACGAGACUGCCGGUGUUAAACCGGAGGAAGGCGGGGAUGACGUCAAGUCCUCAUGGCCUUUAUGCCCAGGGCUGCACACGUGCUACAAUGGCGCGGACAGACCGAUGCGAUACCGCAAGGUGGAGCAAAUCGGAAAAAGCGCGUCCCAGUUCGGAUUGUAGGCUGCAACUCGCCUACAUGAAGUUGGAAUCGCUAGUAAUCGCGGAUCAGCUAUGCCGCGGUGAAUAUGUUCCUGAGCCUUGUACACACCGCCC